AUUGAACGCUGGCGGCAGGCCUAACACAUGCAAGUCGAGCGAGCGGCGGACGGGUGAGUAAUGUCUGGGGAACUGCCCGAUAGAGGGGGAUAACUACUGGAAACGGUGGCUAAUACCGCAUACCAUCGGAUGUUCCCAUAUGGGAUUAGCUAGUAGGUGGGGUAAAGGCGCACCUAGGCGACGAUCCCUAGCUGGUCUGAGAGGAUGACCAGCCAAACUGGGACUGAGACACGGCCCAGACUCCUACGGGAGGCAGCAGUGGGGAAUAUUGCACAAUGGGCGAAAGCCUGAUACAGCCAUGCCGCGUGUAUGAAGAAGGCCUUAGGGUUGUAAAGUACUUUCAGCGGGGAGGCGUUACCCGCAGAAGAAGCACCGGCUAACUCCGUGCCAGCCGCCGCGGUAAUAC
rnacentral:rRNA from 1 species